CAAAAAAGGUGGAGAGGAACGGAGAUGGUUCCGUGGACUGAGCCGGCGUACCUUCCUCUUCAGCUGCUGGAUCUCGGCCUGAGUCACUGCGUGCUUUAUUUGUAGCUGAACGGGUCAGAAAUUGCAAUUAUGGGCAUGGCUUGAAAAAAGUGUAACCGUGCGGAAAGGAACGAAAACUGUAUCAACA